rnacentral:rRNA from 1 species
AGAGUUUGAUCAUGGCUCAGGAUGAACGCUAGCUACAGGCUUAACACAUGCAAGUCGAGGGGAAACGACAUCGAAAGCUUGCUUUUGAUGGGCGUCGACCGGCGCACGGGUGAGUAACGCGUAUCCAACCUGCCCACCACUUGGGGAUAACCUUGCGAAAGUAAGACUAAUACCCAAUGACGUCUCUAGAAGACAUCUGAAAAGAGAUUAAAGAUUUAUCGGUGAUGGAUGGGGAUGCGUCUGAUUAGCUUGUUGGCGGGGUAACGGCCACAAGGCGACGAUCAGUAGGGGUUCUGAGAGGAAGGUCCCCCCANAUUGGAACUGAGACACGGUCCAAAUCCUACGGGAGGCA